GUAGGUGGCAAGCGUUGUCCGGGAAUUAUUGGGGCGUAAAGCGCGCGCAGGCGGUUCUUUAAGUCUGAUGUGAAAGCCCACGGGCUCAACCGUGGAGGGUCAUUGGAAACUGGAGAACUUGAGUACAGAAGAGGAAAGCGGAAUUCCACGUGUAGCGGUGAAAUGCGUAGAGAUGUGGAGGAACACCAGUGGCGAAGGCGGCUUUCUGGUCUGUAACUGACGCUGAGGCGCGAAAGCGUGGGGAGCAAACAGGAUUAGAUACCCUGGUAGUCCACGCCGUAAACGAUGAGUGCUAAGUGUUAGGGGGUUUCCGCCCCUUAGUGCUGCAGCUAACGCAUUAAGCACUCCGCCUGGGGAGUACGACCGCAAAGGUUGA
rnacentral:rRNA from 1 species